rnacentral:rRNA from 1 species
AUUGAACGCUAGCGGGAUGCUCUACACAUGCAAGUCGAACGGCAGCGCGGACUUCGGUCUGGCGGCGAGUGGCGAACGGGUGAGUAAUGUAUCGGAACGUGCCCAGUAGCGGGGGAUAACUACGCGAAAGCGUAGCUAAUACCGCAUACGCCCUACGGGGGAAAGCAGGGGAUCGUAAGACCUUGCACUAUUAGAGCGGCCGAUAUCGGAUUAGCUAGUUGGUGAGGUAACGGCUCACCAAGGCGACGAUCCGUAGCUGGUUUGAGAGGACGACCAGCCACACUGGGACUGAGACACGGCCCAGACUCCUACGGGAGGCAGCAGUGGGGAAUUUUGGACAAUGGGGGCAACCCUGAUCCAGCCAUCCCGCGUGUGCGAUGAAGGCCUUCGGGUUGUAAAGCACUUUUGGCAGGAAAGAAACGUCGCGGGCUAAUACCCCGUGGAACUGACGGUACCUGCAGAAUAAGCACCGGCUAACUACGUG